AGGGAAUCUUCCGCAAUGGACGAAAGUCUGACGGAGCGACGCCGCGUGAGCGAAGAAGGUCUUCGGAUCGUAAAGCUCUGUUGUUAGGGAAGAAGAAGUGCCGUUCGAACAGGGCGGCACGGUGACGGUACCUAACGAGAAAGCCCCGGCUAACUACGUGCCAGCAGCCGCGGUAAUACGUAGGGGGCGAGCGUUGUCCGGAAUUAUUGGGCGUAAAGCGCGCGCAGGCGGUCCCUUAAGUCUGAUGUGAAAGCCCACGGCUUAACCGUGGAGGGUCAUUGGAAACUGGGGGACUUGAGUGCAGAAGAGGAGAGCGGAAUUCCACGUGUAGCGGUGAAAUGCGUAGAGAUGUGGAGGAACACCAGUGGCGAAGGCGGCUCUCUGGUCUGUAACUGACGCUGAGGCGCGAAAGCGUGGGGAGCAAAC
rnacentral:rRNA from 1 species